rnacentral:rRNA from 1 species
AAACCGGAAGCUAAUACAGGAUAAUAUAUUGAACCGCAUGGUUCAAUAGUGAAAGACGGUUUUGCUGUCACUUAUAGAUGGAUCCGCGCCGCAUUAGCUAGUUGGUAAGGUAACGGCUUACCAAGGCAACGAUGCGUAGCCGACCUGAGAGGGUGAUCGGCCACACUGGAACUGAGACACGGUCCAG